rnacentral:rRNA from 1 species
UCCGUAGGUGAACCUGCGGAGGGAUCAUUACACAAUAUGAAAGCGGGCUGGCAUCCUUCGGGGUUACAGCCUUGCUGAAUUAUUCACCCGUGUCUUUUGCGUACUUCUUGUUUCCUUGGUGGGUUCGCCCACCAUAGGACAAACCAUAAACCUUUUGUAAUUGCAAUCAGCGUCAGAAAAAAAAAAUUAAUAAUUACAACUUUUAACAACGGAUCUCUUGGUUCUGGCAUCGAUGAAGAACGCAGCGAAAUGCGAUAAGUAGUGUGAAUUGCAGAAUUCAGUGAAUCAUCGAAUCUUUGAACGCACAUUGCGCCCUUUGGUAUUCCAAAGGGCAUGCCUGUUCGAGCGUCAUUUGUACCCUCAAGCUUUGCUUGGUGUUGGGCGUCUUGUCUCCAGUUCGCUGGAGACUCGCCUUAAAGUAAUUGGCAGCCGGCCUACUGGUUUCGGAGCGCAGCACAAGUCGCGCUCUCUUCCAGCCAAGGUCAGCAUCCACAAAGCCUUUUUUCAACUUUUGACCUCGGAUCAGGUAGGGAUACCCGCUGAACUUAAGCAUAUCAAUAAGCGGAGGA